GUAGCUGAUCUGAGAAUGAAGUCUCUUUUCCAGACGUAAGCUCUGAGUGUAGAGAAGCCAAGAGGAGCCCAAAGCUUCAGGAAAACACUAACCCUCCCAGAAGCCUAGUAGAAGCCUUGUUUCCAGGGACAGUUGGCCAAGACAUAACAAGCUGGGGGCCAGGAGCACGCUCUGAAAGGGGUACCUGAGGCCCUGCCAAAACUCUUGAGUGAGAAACCAAACCCAACUCACCCUGGCCGGGUCUGCACCAUUCCCAGCUGAACAUGAGGCCCCUGCAGCGGGGUGAGUGCACCCCUGUCCUUGGGGCUCCGACCGUGUAUUAUUCUUGAUAGUGCAUG
rnacentral:lncRNA from 12 species